AUGAAUUAGAAAGAAAGAGAUCAGGUUAUUUAUGAUCGGAGAAAAGGAAGGGGCGUGGUUGAUGUGUCACUGGGAACCCGUAGGAAGGGGAGACGACCGGCCUCAUUCACAUCUGAAAUCGCCAACAUGAACACAAACGAAAUCGUCUUAAUUUCGUAUAGAAAGAAAAAAAAGGAAACAAGUAAAAAAGCGUUGUCCCCGGGGAUAGGUACUUCGUCCGGCGCGGUAUCAUUGCUGAGCGAUCGCUCGCUAUCUGGAAAUGGAGUGUUAGUUUCAAAUAGAGAUUGUGUGGGUGUGAAGUGUACUGAAGAUCGAGGUUUUUCUUCUUACUAA
rnacentral:rRNA from 1 species